GAGGCUAUAGCUCAGUGGUAGAGUGCAUGCCUAGCAUGCAUGAGGUCCUGGGUUCAAUCCCCAGGACCUCC
rnacentral:tRNA from 1 species